rnacentral:lncRNA from 1 species
AACUGUUGGACAAGUUUUAUUACCUGAAUUGAAAACCAACAUGAGUUAGAAGAGAGAAAUUUGAGUUCAAAUUGACACUUUAAAAUAAAAGCUUGAACAAAAUCUUAUAGUGACACUGAAAUUGCAGUGAAACUAUGUCUACAUUUGGUUUAAAUCAAUGAUGGCUUGACAGGUUUAAUAACAAAUGGAAACAAAUUGAUAAAUGUUUAAAAUUUACAUCAGUUUCAAAACCUCUAUCAUUUAUAAUAUACAACUUUUCUUUUUAAUUCAUCAAUGCCCAUUGUUCAACAGACAAAUAAUCAACAACUUUUAUAAAAGAAAAAGGAUGGGGCCUGAUUCUGUAUAAUAACAGCACAAUCUAGCAACAUCUACAAAAAUAAAUGCAUCCAUAAAACAAUCCAUAGGGUUUCUUUUUUAAAAUAAAAUAAAAAUAAAAUUGACUGUAAAGGGUGAAAACAGUUAACAUUGAUUGAAGAUAGAUUUCAGACAGAGAAUAAUAGUUUUGCUUCUAACAAUUAAUUAACCCAUAUUCAGACAAACUUAUGUAAACUGAUUAUAUUAUUGGUUUAUUUCAGAAAUAGGGUUAUAUAAAUCAAAUAGUCAAUAUAAUCUUUUUUUCUUUUUCCAUUUUAUAUAAGAAAAUCAUUUUUUAAUUGAAAUUCUUUUCAAGAAGACACUUAAAUUUUGAUUUACAAAAGGUUUUCCAUGGAGGGAAAACAAAAUUCUUCCCAUAUGUACAUAGUAAUAAAGUAAAUUUUACAAUGGACAUAUAUUACAUUGAUUGUUCUUUUUUUUAGCGACCAUCGUUUUUUUUUUCUUUUGACAUAAUUUAUUCUGUUUGAGAUUUGACUUAGCUUCAAUACUGUACAGUUUCCUUUGAGAUGAAUUAUUCUGUUUGAUUUUCAUAUUUAGUUUACUUAAUUUUACUGUAAUAUACUAUUUAAAAACUGUCUUAUAAUGUCACUAAAACCACACACAUGUUAAUAAUGUAACUUUUAUUUGGCAACAUUUAGAAAAUAAACACUAAAUCAUACAGAGAAAAUCUUAAGACCUAUAAUCUAAACAAAGGUUACACAGCAAUAUAUAUCGUUGUAGUGUUUGGUAGGGAUUGUUAAGUUUAUCUCUUUUUUUUGCUUUGAGAUCAUUUAUAUUUGGAGUUUGAGCAAACUUUGCUUUUGUCACUAUAAGAAAUCACUAUCAUUAUUUUUUAUUACUAUUUUUGUGUUUCUAGCAUUUUACUAUUCAGUUAAUGUAAGAGAUUUGAUAGUAGCUAUAAGGCUUUGAGCUAAACCGUCCCAUUACAUUGUUAUUAAUUAUGGUGGGAUGUAUGAGGGUCAGAAAAAACAUUUUCUCUAGUUAAAUAAGUAAAAUAGUUAAGUGGAAACUAUAACCUAUAAUAUUAUGUAAUAAUAUUGAAUUUUUCUCAAAACUAUAAAAUAGCAAGGUUAUACUUGGAUCUACUAUGACAAAGAAAUGCACUUCAUGAUAGACAACUGUUACUAAAACAAGUUUCUGUUAAUGUACUCUACACAUCUUAUGAUGCAGUCCAAAGGAACAUCUCUCAGGAAUUAUUUCUAGCCUAAACUUACUGUAAAUAUUUUGUAAUAAUAUCAUGUUCAAUAUAGUUUAAAUUUCAAUUGGAAGUAAUAUCAGUGAGUAAAGGCAACCAAAAGAACUGGUGUAAAAUUGAAAAAUAGCAUGAAAAAUAAUAAUGGGUAAGGUAGGAUCUUUUCAUGAAGAAUUUUAUAAUGAAGUAAGAAAUAUUACAAGUGCUAUAAAUUAUACAUGAUUUUCAUUUCAAGGGGAAAAAAUAUUAAAAAAAUCACUGGUAGACAGUGAUUUCAAUUUUACACCAGUUCUUUUGGUUGCCUUUACUCACUGAUAUUACUUCCAAUUGAAAUUUAAACUAUAUUGAACAUGAUAUUAUUACAAAAUAUUUACAGUAAGUUUAGGCUAGAAAUAAUUCCCGAGAGAUGUUCCUUUGGACUGCAUCAUAAGAUGUGUAGAGUACAUUAACAGAAACUUGUUUUAGUAACAGUUGUCUAUCAUUAGUUAAAUUGUAACAAGUUUUUAUUUAAAAAUUCAUAAAAUUGAAAUUGAUUUUAUUUCUAAUAUAAUUUCUAUUCUGUCCUGAUUACUCACAAUUCUGUUUUACUUCAAAUAUAGUUGAUGUUAAAAAAAUUAAUAUACAAAUAAAACAAUAAUAUAAUUUUGUUGUGUCUGGGAAGAGUCAUAGUGCCUUAAUAUAACACACUCACUGGUUCAAUUUCCACUCAUUUAGUUAUUUAUUUAUUUAUUUAUUUAUUCCAGAAAGCUUUUUCAUUGCUGCAUUUGUGACUGUAUCAAUGAAUUUUGACUCUGAUUAUCC